rnacentral:rRNA from 1 species
GACGAACGCUGGCGGCGUGCCUAAUACAUGCAAGUCGAGCGGAUGAUGGAGGAGCUUGCUCCUCCUGAUUCAGCGGCGGACGGGUGAGUAACACGUGGGCAACCUGCCCUGUAGAUUGGGAUAACUCCGGGAAACCGGGGCGAAUACCGAAUAAUCCACCGUACCUCAUGGUCGGGUGUUGAACGUCGGCUUCUCGCUGUCACUACAGGAUGGGCCCGCGGCGAAUUAGCUAGUUGGCGAGGUACCGGCUCACCAAGGCCACGAUGCGUAGCCGACCUGAGAGGGUGAUCGGCCACACUGGGACUGAGACACGGCCCAGACUCCUACGGGAGGCAGCAGUAGGGAAUCUUCCACAAUGGACGAAAGUCUGAUGGAGCAACGCCGCGUGAGUGAAGAAGGUUCUCGGAUCGUAAAACUCUGUUGUGAGGGAAGAACAAGUACCGGAGUAACUGCCGGUACCUUGACGGUACCUCAUUAGAAAGCCACGGCUAACUACGUGCCAGCCGCCGCGGUAAGAC